AGGUUGGCUCAGAAGCAGCCAUCCUUUAAAGAGUGCGUAACAGCUCACUAGUCGAAUGACUCUGCGCCGAUAAUUUACCGGGGCUAAGCAUACUACCGAAGCUAUGGAUCCCAAGGGAUGGUAGGGGAGCGUUCCAUGAACGGAGAAGUACGACCGAAAGGACGUGUGGAGAUCAUGGAAGAGAGAAUGCCGGUGUGAGUAGCGGAACGUGGGUGAGAAUCCCACGCACCGAAAACCCAAGGUUUCCAGAGGAAGGUUCGUCCGCUCUGGGUAAGUCGGGACCUAAGGCGAGGCCGAAAGGCGUAGUCGAUGGACAACAGGUAGAGAUUCCUGUACCCGUAUAUAUGUGAAGGAAUGACGGAGAGAGGAAGCUGCAGCCAGCGGCUGGAAGAGCUGGUGCAAGCGAGAUAUCGGGAUGGCAGGCAAAUCCACCAUCCGAAACGAGAAGGCGUGAAGCGUACGGAAAGCUACGGCGAGUACGGAAGGCAGUGGAGGAACUUCCAAGAAAAGUUUCUAACGUUAAGUAUAUAUGGCCCGUACCGAAAAUGGACACACAUGGGUGAGGAGAGAAUCCUAAGGUGAGCGAGAGAACUAUAGCUAAGGAACUCUGCAAAAUGACUCCGUAACUUAGGGAGAAGGAGUGCUCAUAGAGAUAUGAGCCGCAGUGAAACGGCCCAAGCGACUGUUUACCAAAAACACAGCUCUCUGCUAAGCCGCAAGGCGAAGUAUAGGGGGUGACGCCUGCCCGGUGCUGGAAGGUUAAGGGGAGGGGUUAACGCAAGUGAAGCCCUGAACUGAAGCCCCAGUAAACGGCGGCCGUAACUAUAACGGUCCUAAGGUAGCGAAAUUCCUUGUCAGGUAAGUUCUGACCCGCACGAAAGGCGUAACGAUUUGGGCGCUGUCUCAGCUGUAGACUCGGUGAAGUCUUAGUACCUGUGAAGAUGCAGGUUACCCGCGACUAGACGGAAAGACCCCAUGGAGCUUCACUGCAGGUUGAUAUUGGGAUUUGAUGCAGCAUGUACAGGAUAGGUAGGAGGCAAAGAGAUGGAUACGCCAGUAUUCAAGGAGCCGCUGUUGGGAUACUACCCCUGUUGUAUUGGAUUUCUAACCGGACGACGUAGAGCCGUUGACGGGACAGUGUCAGUCGGGCAGUUUGACUGGGGCGGUCGCCUCCCAAAGAGUAACGGAGGCGCCCAAAGAUACCCUCAGCUUGGAUGGAAACCAAGCGCAGAGUGCAAAGGCAAAAGGGUGUUUGACUGCGAGACCCACAAGUCGAGCAGGGACGAAAGUCGGGCUUAGUGAUCCGGCGGUGCUGAAUGGAAAGGCCGUCGCUCAACGGAUAAAAGCUACCCUGGGGAUAACAGGCUGAUCUCCCCCAAGAGUUCACAUCGACGGGGAGGUUUGGCACCUCGAUGUCGGCUCAUCGCAUCCUGGAGCUGAAGUCGGUUCCAAGGGUUGGGCUGUUCGCCCAUUAAAGCGGUACGCGAGCUGGGUUCAGAACGUCGUGAGACAGUUCGGUCCCUAUCUGUCGUGGGCG
rnacentral:rRNA from 1 species